AGAGAAAAUAAGGGUUUGCUGCUAACAAAUCUAAGAAAAUAUUUAUUUUCAUUCUCUU
rnacentral:tRNA from 1 species